AGAGUUUGAUCAUGGCUCAGGACGAACGCUGGCGGCGUGCCUAACACAUGCAAGUCGAACGGAGAAUUUCAAUAAGUUUACUUAGCGAAAUUUUUAGUGGCGGACGGGUGAGUAACGCGUGGGUAACCUACCCAUAAAACCGGGACAACCCUUGGRAAMGGGGGCUAAUACCGGAUACGCUUUUGAUGCGGCAUCGCAUUAAAAGGAAAGGUGGCCUCUGAAUAUGCUACCGAUUAUGGAAGGACCCGCGUCUGAUUAGCUAGUUGGUGGGGUAAAGGCCUACCAAGGCGACGACGGGUAGGGGACCUGAGAGGGUGACCCCCCACAAUGGAACUGAAAUACGGUCCAUACACCUACGGGUGGCAGCAGUAGGGAAUAUUGCACAAUGGGCGAAAGCCUGAUGCAGCAACGCCGCGUGCACGAUGAAGGUCUUCGGAUCGUAAAGUGCUUUUCUGGGAGAUGAGAAAGGACAGUAUCCCAGGAAUAAGUCUCGGCUAACUACGUGCCAGCAGCCGCGGUAAUACA
rnacentral:rRNA from 1 species